rnacentral:tRNA from 1 species
UGUGGUGUAGCUCAGUGGUAGAGCACUUACAUAGCAUGUAGGAGGCCCUGGGUUCAAUCCUAGAACUACAA